UACGGAGGAUGCAAGCGUUAUCCGGAAUGAUUGGGCGUAAAGAGUCCGUAGGUUGUUUUUCAAGUCUGCCGUUAAAGAGUUAGGCUUAACCUAAUAAAGGCGGUGGAAACUGAAAGACUAGAGUGCGUUCGGGGUAGAAGGAAUUCCUGGUGUAGCGGUGAAAUGCGUAGAUAUCAGGAAGAACACCGGUGGCGAAAGCGUUCUGCUAGGCCGCAACUGACACUGAGGGACGAAAGCUAGGGGAGCGAAUGGG
rnacentral:rRNA from 1 species